AGGGUAGAGGUGCUGUAAUUAAGAGUAGUUCAUAGGAAUCGGCAGGUUAUGAUUAUGAAUGAAAGGAAGUACAGCCGAAGAAAACUUAUUGGCAAAUAAUUUUUCUGGGAUUAUGUAAAAUAUACAUGAUACUGUCACUUAGUAUUAAGUGGUGAGCUACAAGG
rnacentral:ncRNA from 1 species